GGAAUUANUGGGCGUAAAGAGCUCGUAGGUGGUUUGUUGCGUCGUCUGUGAAAUUCCGGGGNUUAACUUCGGGGUGGCAGGCGAUACGGGCAUAACUAGAGUGCUGUAGGGGAGACUGGAAUUCCUGGUGUAGCGGUGGAAUGCGCAGAUAUCAGGAGGAACACCGAUGGCGAAGGCAGGUCUCUGGGCAGUAACUGACGCUGAGGAGCGAAAGCAUGGGGAGCGAACAGGAUUAGAUACCCUGGUAGUCCAUGCUGUAAACGGUGGGCGUUAGGUGUGGGGACCGGUUUGGUUUCUGUGCCGUAGCUAACGCAUUAAGCGCCCCGCCUGGGGAGUACGGCCGCAAGGCUAAAACUCAAAGGAAUUGACGGGGGCCCGCACAAGCGGCGGAGCAUGUGGAUUAAUUCGAUGCAACGCGAAGAACCUUACCUGGGUUUGACAUGCACCAGACGGUUGUAGAGAUGCGUACCUCCCUUUGUGGUUGGUGUGCAGGUGGUGCAUGGUUGUCGUCAGCUCGUGUCGUGAGAUGUUGGGUUAAGUCCCGCAACGAGCGCAACCCUUGUCUUAUGUUGCCAGCACUUUGGGUGGGGACUCAUGAGAGACUGCCGGGGUUAACUCGGAGGAAGGUGGGGAUGACGUCAAAUCAUCAUGCCCUUUAUGCCCAGGGCUUCACACAUGCUACAAUGGUUAGUACAACGCGCUGCGAGCCUGUGAGGGUGAGCGAAUCGCUGAAAGCUAAUCUCAGUUCGGAUUGGGGUCUGCAACUCGACCCCAUGAAGUCGGAGUCGCUAGUAAUCGCAGAUCAGCAAUGCUGCGGUGAAUACGUUCCCGGGCCUUGUACACACCGCCCGUCACGUCAUGAAAGUUGGUAACACCCGAAGCCCAU
rnacentral:rRNA from 1 species